GGUCAAGUUAUUAAGGGUGUAGGGCGAAUGCCUUGGCACUAGGAGCCGAUGAAGGACGCGAUAAGCUGCGAUAAGCUUGGGGGAGUUGCACGUAAACUGUGAUCCCAAGAUUUCCGAAUGAGGAAACUCACUUAGAGUAAUGUCUAAGUAUCGUAUAGUGAAUACAUAGCUAUGCGAGGGGAACCCGGGGAACUGAAACAUCUAAGUACCCGGAGGAAGAGAAAGAAAUUCGAUUCCGUAAGUAGCGGCGAGCGAACGCGGAACAGGCCAAACCAGUGAAGUUUUCUUCA
rnacentral:rRNA from 1 species